rnacentral:rRNA from 1 species
AUUCAACGCUGGCGGCAUGCCUUACACAUGCAAGUCGAACGGUAACAGGUCUUCUGAUGCUGACGAGUGGCGAACGGGUGAGUAAUACAUCGGAACGUGCCUAGUAGUGGGGGAUAACUACUCGAAAGAGUGGCUAAUACCGCAUGUGAUCUACGGAUGAAAGCAGGGGAUCGCAAGACCUUGUGCUACUAGAGCGGCCGAUGGCAGAUUAGGUAGUUGGUGGGAUAAAAGCUUACCAAGCCGACGAUCGGUAGCUGGUCUGAGAGGACGAUCAGCCGCACUGCGCCUGAGACACGGCCCAGACUCCUGCGGGAGGCAGCAGUGAGGAAUUUUGGACAAUGGUCGCAAGCUUGAUCCAGCAAUGCCGCGUGCAGGAUGAAGGCCUUCGGGUUGUAAACUGCUUUUGUACGGAACGAAAAGCCCCGGGUUAAUACCCUGGGGUCAUGACGGUACCGUAAGAAUAAGCACCGGCUAACUACGUGCCAGCCGCCGCAGUAA